GCAAUUGGCUGGGGCUACAGGUGUUGUGAGUCUGGCUGAUCUCAUGAGGUAUAGCGAGUUCUGCAAUGACAGAGUUACUUGGCAAGACGAUGUCAUGGCUGGUUUCAUUUCGCAGCAAAACUGGCACCUUGUACGGGGAACGUGCCGGAAUAGAGAUCAAGCAGCUGUCAAUAAAGAUUCCCCCUGGCAAGGACGAGAUAGAGGGCUCUUCAAGUACUGCCCAUCUCUCGUUGUUCGCUUCACUUCCAAAAACAAGGCCUUCCAAGACAACCUUCCGUCCAGCAGGGACGAUACCUGGUUCAUGACGACUUAACUUCACAACACCAAUCUGACCCUCUGAGUUUUGUUUUCGUCUGAGCUGCAGGGUUUUCAGGACUUGUUGGUAGCCACAGUAUGUGUUGCUUACCAGAGGACUUUCAUCACAGAACUGUUCAUAGAGGGGGUCUAGAGUAUUCGUACCAAUUAGCACAGGCACGCUACUGUUGGAGCGAGUGUCUGGUACUAUCAGGGCAAGAGUCUGUACUUCAGGUUGUGAAGCCAUAAAUUCUUUAGGGAACUGCAUACUUAACUGUAUGUAGCCUAGGUAGGGGACUGCCUGGCCGUUUGCACCUUCAACGUCCAGUAUGUCACUCACUGGGCGUAUCGGGUGAUCAGAGAGGUGUGAAUCAUAGUAAGACUGAGACACAGUCGUAACUUGUGACCCAGUGUCAAGCAGUGAGUUACAUUCAAUUCCAUUCACUUUCACAUGUGCUGUGCUCUUUUUUCCUACUAGGCCUCUAGGCAGUUCUCCUGUUCUUACAGCUCUGUGUUCGUUAAGUGUCACUUUUUCCUUGACUUUCUGUGUCGUGGUGGGACUGUUUGUCAACUCUGUUCCUAUUUGUCCCUCAAUAGAAACAGUUACUUGUUUAAAGAACUUUCAACAACAGGGUUUGCUUUUUCCCACGCUGUCUGUCUUUCUUUCAGCUCUUUUCUCUUUGCGUUAACUAGUGCAGGGUUUGGUGUAUCAGUGCAGCUGGUUGCUAUAUGCCCAUCCUCACCACAUUGGAAACAAUACCACGGUCUGGGCUUUUUCGGCGUGGUGUCUGGUUUUUGUGCUUGUGCUUCAGCACUGGCUUCAGCACUGGCUUGUUCUUUUGGUGUAGGUUUCAGCUUUUUCUUUCCAGCUUGGGGUUUAUUUGGCGGUUUGUCUUUGGGGUAGGAAAGCGCUGCAAUCUGAGCUUGGAGGUCAGCUAUCUGCUUUUGAAGCUGAUUCAUCGCUGAUGGAGGAGUUUCAGAUGGACAUGGUAAGUCAUACUCGUUGUUAGGUUCAUACAGGUUCUGUGCUUGAGCUUGAACUUGGACUUUGGUCUUUGUGAAACCGAGAUGCUGUUUCAUUCUGUUCGCUUUGGCUGUUUGUUUAUCUUCUUCCAUGCGCAGGAGCAACAGCAGCUCUGUAAAGGUGGGGGGCUGCUCCUUUCGCUUUUCAAGCUGAAGUGUGCUGAUCAAAGUAUUAUUCCAACAGCCUCUGCAGAAUUGUUUCAGAAGCUGUCUGUCUGAAUCAGUUGGUGAUAUGGCUUUCACCUUCACAAUCUUGUUCAGAGCGGUCUGAAGACGAUGAAGAUAACCGGAUGGCUUCUCACCGGAGUUCUGGUUGAUGUUAAGAAACUCUGCAAACAGAUCGUCUCCAUCUUUCACUAUGCCAUAAGCAGAAUCGAGCAGGUCAAGAUAAGCUCUUGGGGGACAAUAAGGACCUAAUGACUUCACUACUGUAGCAGCUGGGGUUAAAAGACUGUCAACAAUCUUCCUCACAAGUUGUCCUUUAGGGACAGACGGAUCAGCUAUGUAAAACUCCACAUUGUUUCGCCAUGUGUCGUAAUCAACCUCAGUGCUUGGACAUGGAACUCUGCCCGAAAAAGUCCUCAGCUUCACUGAGUGUAGGUCUGAACGAAGGUCGGAGCUCUUCACUACAUGCUCAACAAUGAACCGUUGCAUCUCAGGCGGGUUCAGGUGAUCAGGCGCUGGCUUCAGUUGCGGAAGUGAGUCAGGUCGGCUUAUGUCAGGGGUAAUAGUUCUAGUGGGCUCUAGAGUGUGUGCAUUUUCGGGUUCAGUACAAGAGGGAGUCUGUGCUGUUGGUUUAUCACCUAAGUCAAUUAGCUCUGUAUCUUUAACGUUUUCAGCUGCUGGCUUUGUCUGGCCAACAAGGUUAGAGAUUCUGGCUAACUCAUCUUGUAAGAGUGUUUCAAACGAUUUCCCACUAAGUUUGGCAAUGUCCUUAAGCUGAGUUAGGAAUGACUCUGUUAAACCUGUACCUUUCUCUGAUGAGUACACAUUUGCAAGAGCAUCAACAUGGUGAACAAUGUCAGUGUUACCGUCACAAACUCUGUCAAAAGGCAAAGAACCUUGGAGUGUUUCAACAGCUAAUCCAGAUUCAAAUUCAAGAACGACUUGGUCGCUAGCAUCAGGCACUUUGAUUAUUCUGGAAAAUUUACCAUAUUGCUUCAAAUAUUCAAAAACCUCAUUGUCAACCUCAGUUUCUGUUAAACCCCUUAUAAGAAGAGAGUUAGGCACUUUCACACUAGCUAGUGUAACAAUUUCCAUUGUGAUCAAAACAAAACACAACACUUAAAGGCAAUAGUCAAAAAGAGAAAAAAUACAAAAAAUUGUGGCGAUUGCACUUAAAAUAAACACUCCUGGCUGGCUCGCCAAGUUUUACCGUGUAACCCACUACUGAGUAUGUACACGUCACUGUUGGACCAGUUUCUAAUAACUAGAAAACAAGAGACACUAAGCUCUGCAAGACAAGUGCAAUUAAAAGACACCACACAAGGAUAUAAGGUUUUUCUUCUUUUAGUAAUGAAUUGAAAAGUUAGAACUGUUUGCAAAUGAAAAUUAGACCUUUUUAAAUAAAAUAAAAAGUAAAUUGUCCUUCAAAAAGAUUGAGGAAAUAGUCCUUAAUCCAAAAGUGGAAAAAUAAAGAGUUCCUUUAAGUUGUUGUUCAAAAAGAAAAAAAUAGUUCCUUUCAAGUAGUUCCUUUCAAAUAGUUCCUUUCAAGUAGUUCAGUUAGUUCAGUUCAGAACAGUUCAAUCCUUGGUUCAGUUGUAAAGUGUCAAUUCAAGUAGUCAAUAAGUCAAGUCAGUCAUAGUCAGUAUGAUGUGACUCUAGUAGGCCACAAUCCUACCAGAUAUGCCAUGUGCAAUGACAUAGAACAGGAUCACACUCAAUGGUUGGGUUGGCUCGCCAUCAGAUGUAGUCGACGAAUCCUCAGCGAAAUCCAGAUCCAGCUCAAAAACUUGACCUGUGUAACCAUACCCUAAGUUAAGCUACACAUUCAGGCAACUUUCAGUUUCAGUUUUCUAUCACAUAUCAAACAGUUUCAAUUUCAAGUAGUUGUACAACAUUUAAAUCAAUAUUCUCAAAAGAAAAGCUAUGCAAACUGCAUACACUUUGUUCAUACUGAAAAGCAUUGCAUACCAUUCAGUUAAAUUACCAUUAUCAAGUAAACAGGAUGAAUACUAUGAAAUAUACUGAAAUCGCGGUAACCUUGCACAAACAUUACCGAGUACAGCGGCUAUCAUGAAAACACGUUCAGCUCUCUCACCUCUCACGCGCUGAGUGCGAGAUCACUGCAUGUGCAAUACGUUCAGCUCAUACCGAGCUUAAAGCUACUUAUUUCAACCAAAAUACACUUUCAGAAUCAUUACAACACGUAUUAACAAACAAAAUACAAUUCUUAGGUUUCACUGAAGUAUUUAGCAGUGAUAAACAUCAUAAGACUUAGGUUUCAGCAGUUCAGCAGAAAGAUAGAAAAGUUCUCUUACCGAGACGAUUCAAACAAAAAGAAAAACAUUCGAUGAAACAAAGCUUCUGGUCUUCAAAACAUACAGCAACAUACAGCGCUGGUCACUCAAUACUCCAAAAAGUAAACUUAUAGUUCAAAACAACUUAGAAUUACUUUCUUUCAAUAGUUUCUAUCUCCGAGGAAAAUGGAUGCUUCUGCUCUCUGGCUCCC
rnacentral:lncRNA from 1 species